GCCUGGGUGGCUCAGUCGGUUAAGUGUCCGACUGCGGCUCGGGUCAUGAUCUCGCGGUUCGUGGGUUCGAGCCCCGCAUUGGGCU
rnacentral:tRNA from 1 species